CGACGUCGAUGAGGAGUGUUCCUUCCUUUCUUUCGACGUCGAAGGGAAACCUUGCGUCAUCGCAACCGUGGAAGGAGUAGGCGGAGAUUGAUGAGGCGUCGGUGCCAGAGACAGAGAAACUGCCCGAUGUCGAGGGCCUUCAAAAGGUUGUAGCCAGGACGGAGAGGGGGUUGCACUCGUAGCACUAGUACAGUCCCUCCCAUGUUGAUGUUUAUACUUUUUUGCCUUAGGCUCCUUUGCCAUUUCUCCACCCUUUCUUUUCGGGCUGCGCAUAAGACUACUCGGCUUCUUGGCCGGUGCCCUGCCCUUCGCUGCCAAAGUAGCCACUGCUGAAGUGGUCAAUGUCGAGGCUAAAAAUGGUGCACUUGAGACUUUAGACUGCAUUGUAUUUGUAUCUGCGGGUCUCUGCGCCGAAGGGGAUGUCGCGGGCAUUUUCCAUUUUGAAAGUAAAGCCUCCUCCAUUAAGGCUACUUUUAACCUCAUGGCUCGAUUUUUCAAUGUCUGCUUAUUAAAAGUGGAGCAGACAUUGCAGCCAGCCAUAUUAUGAGACUCUCCUAGGCAGAACAAACAGAGUUCAUGCCCGUCAGUAAAGGGGAGUUUCCCAUGGCAUUCACGGCACCUCUUGAAGGUGGUUUUCUCCCUCCCCUUUGCCUUACUCAUUAGAGGUUGUGUUGUUUUUUGUUUUUGUUUGUUUGUUAGUAAAUGCAGUAUUGUGUUACCACGUCAGUUGGAGAAGAAAGUAGAGAAGUCGUUUGAGCCACGGUCUCACCAAAGGUCCGAGUAAUUUCCUAAGCCGAGGGUGAUCCAAAUAAUAUCCGAUUAUAUGCCAAAGGUCAUUGCCAGAAGUAUGUGUUUUAAAGUUUUAUUGAGAUAUAAAGAUCUUAGUGGAGCAACCGUUCCGAGGACUGAUCGCAAUGGCGGUCAGCAAGAAACUGAAUAGGAGGACGCCCAACCGCCACAAGAGGGUACUACAGUCACGUGCACCUGGAGGUUGCCAGCGUCGCGAGGAACUAGCUAAUUCUAACUGAAGCCGAUCUGCGCAGGUACAGAACCCAUCAAUUAUGAAUGUCUGGAACCACUAUCCAGAUCCUAGGUCGAUAUCAACAGUUUUUGUGGAGAGCAUGGCAUCGGUGUCAGGGGACGAAGUGCUUACUUGGGUCCGGUUUUUAAAAGUUUGAUGAGAGAAGGACGUGCAAAUUCUGCAGGUCCUUGUAUUAUGAUCCUCGCCUAAACAGAACAAACAGGAGUCAUGCCGAUCUGUCAAGAGCAACUUUCUCCAACAAUCCUUGCACAUCUUAAAAGUUUUCCUAACAUCCAUUGAGAAAUUAGAAACCAAAAAUAAGCUGUGUCAAGCCAGAAAAGCAACCUAAAUCCAUCAACAAAAACCAGUCCAUUUAGCAAUGAGUAGUCAGCAAUAAGUCCAAAAAAAGCACUUCACCAAACUCUCUCUCUCCCCUCCCCCCAAGUCUGAGGAGCCCUAGCCAAUGAGGUGAACACUUUGACAAUCGGAAAUGAAGUAAAGGUGGGGUGCCCCAAUCACCUAUAUAAACAGUUGCACCGAGCACAUGGGGCAGUGCGUGAGCACCACGAGGAAUUGGAUAUUCCACCUGCAAGGUCCUGCACAGGCGCAGAACCUAGGCUAAUGAAUGUCCUAUGGCUCACACUACAGAUCGUAUAGUAAUUUUGUUUUAAUAUUUGUUGUAUUUAUGUAUGCUUUUAAGAAAUCUUUUAGCAACUGUGAUUAUCUUUUAGAUGGAAACAUAGGAUAAGAAUUAUCAGAAAUACAUUGUUUCCAACUAACUACAAACUUGGGAAGAGAACUGCUUCCAUACUGAUCAUUAAUUCUGAAAGCAUGACAUAAAUGCAGCAGCUAAAGACAUGAAAGGAAACGCAUCCAGAGUUGGCCACAAUGAGUCCUGAACGACACGAUUCAAGCUAUCAAUAAAGAUAGGAUUUUACCUGAUAAUCCGGUUUGGUGAAAUAAUCCAGAUUUGCAAUGUGAUCCAGGAAAAGAUGGAACUCGGAAGGCAUAUGUUUUAGCAGCAUUCGAUGUUCAUAUUUCUCUUUAAUCAUACCAACUUGCUCCUAGAGAAAAAGUGUUUUCAGGGGAAAAAAGCUUAAAAUCAGCAUUUUCAAAACCCGGAAAUACCUCAAGAUAAGCUAGAAUUCACAAGGCAAAGCCCAACGUGUGUGGAGUGGGUCCAAGGAUCUCGAAAGGAUCUCAGGUUUCCUACCUUAUCUUUGAUCUUGCGCCAUGGAAGCUGACCAACUGCAAACUCCACCAGCAUGUAAAAAAGGGACCACAAGUCAUCAUGUCGACCCAUUUCCUGAAGAAAAUGAAAACAAAGG